AACUUCUAACAUGAUGGAACAAAUUCUUAAUUUCCUGAAGCCGAGACUGAGAUUGGAUCAAUGAGCAAUGAAGUGAUCCCCUCUUUUGUAGUUUUUCCAACAUGUGUGUACCCAUCUCCAGCCUUAUAAAUGAACUCACAGCCCCUUGAAAAAUUGAGA